GGCCGUUUGUCUAAGGCUGGCGACGUUGGGGAUGCGGAGGCUUCGAAAAUCGUUUCCUUUUUUUACGUUUUAGCCGUUAUAGCAGGUAUUUUAGAUGUUUCCUUACGAAUACCAUGUUCAAGAAUGUCCAGCGAUGACUGAGGGCUGGGAGACGCCGCGUUUUACCAACGCCCGCAAGUUGCGGACGCUGCUGCAAGCGCCGCGGCACCCCCUCUGCCUCAGCACCUUUUUCCUGCCCCAGCAACUAUCCUCUCUCUGAUUCAACAGAACAUCCCACCCCUGCAGCAGCUCCCCCCCCUCCCCCUUUCCGGAUCAAGAACCCAUUCCUGCCCAUGCAGCUGUCCCCUUUCUGGAUCGCACUGCUCCCACCCCUAGAGCAGCACAUCCUCUGGGCCAACACCAUGCUCCACCAGCAGCCCUACCGGCCCUGAAAAUCUUGCAUACCAGACGAACGCAGCACUCUAGGAUGCUCUGCCACCUCUCUAUGAAGUCAGGCAAAGGAAUAUGCCUUGAGCUACUAUGUCUACCAGCAUUCAAACCCCAAGGCUGUCAACCUGCAAGAGGACCACGCUGUUCUUGUGCGGCAAAUGAACGACACCACGAAAAACUUCCUUUCGGAUCUGGACUGCACCGAACUGUGAAUGUUUUUUUUUCUUCCUUUAUUCGCAUUUAGUGGAAUUUUUUACCUUUACGGGUUCAUGUUGUGCCACAUACAUUAUGUUUGUUAUUGUCUAGUCAGACUUUUUUUAAUAUUUACAGUGUGGUGCCUCGGGCAUGAUUGACCAACAGGCGUUGCAGCGCACAAUGAAUGUUUUUGUUGUUCAUCCCAGCCAGUCCACCGUUAAGAGAGCGUCACGUUUCCUUGAGCUCCGCCCAUCCAGAAUGCUACGUGACAUCCUUUUGGCGCUGAAUUGGCUGGGGUGGCCGAAGCCUCCCCUGCGCUCGCACGAAAGGUGACACAGUGUGUUAUCUUUAGGGUUGUAUGUUGUGCCACACACUGAAUGUUUUUGUUGCCUAGUCCGACUUUACUUUAAUCUUGUUUAAUGCCUCGGGUAUAUUUUUAAGGCACCACACAAUGUUUUUUUUAAACCUUGUCUAGUCACACUUUAUGUUUAGUGUUAUAGAAUCGCAUGCAUAUUUUGAGCAUGCCCGAAAAUUUCAAUAUGAAUAAGACAUAUCAAAGUAUUGGUAAAUUCGGGUUUUUAACUAAUAUUCGGAGACUAUUUGGUGUCCUUUGCUGUUUGUCUCUAGGAUAAGGUAGAGCGGAUUAUGUGAGAGGUAAAAUAAGCAGUUUAUUAAAUUUUCUGCACUUUGGACCAUGACCUCAGCAAAGCUGCUAUUCAGUCCUGGAUUUACCAAUCCUUAAUGUUAUUUAUUCAUGUUAAAAUUUUCAGGCACAUCCAAAAAUAUGACCGACAUCAAGUUUUUGGCAUGGAAUGACCCUAUACAAAACUACUAAAGGAUUGUAUAAAGUUUCAAUGGAAAUAUAAAGG